rnacentral:lncRNA from 1 species
AGAGGAGCCUGUGCAGGAUCCUGAGUAACCUACUUAGUAGUGACAGGGAGAUUGGCUGGGGAGGAGCUGAGCCAGGUGCCAAGCUGCUGGUGUUCAAAGGGAAGGGCAGAGUGGGGCAGGAAUAGGAGCUGAGGACCCCUCCUCUCUGAAAAUUCUUUAGCAAGGACUUCGGGAAGUGGCCACACCAUCAGCUGGAGGAUACACAGAGUACCAUGACCUGUCAGCUGGACUCACAUGCACUUCUGCACACUCACACCCUCAGGCACAUAUUCAAGCUUGGGCCUGGAUGAGUGGCAGUGUUCUAGCAUCUCCCUUACCUCCUAAGGAGAGGAAUCCUGCUGCAGAAUGGGUUCUGGGUGUCUGAGUCCAAGUAAGGAUGGAUACACAGACCCCUGUGCAGGAUGGGAAUGGACCAGCAAGAAGAAGGCAUGUACUCAAGAAAUACACUCGCUGAACACCUGUCUCCCUGGUAGCUGUCUACCUGAGGCCUGCACUAGAGGGAGGAAGUGAACCAGUGGGAGUCUGUUCUCUCCCAUCUACCAGGGAGCAAUGAGAAGCUCAGGAAGCCCUCACUACUCAUCCCAGGAUACGGCAUCCUUUGGAAACUGGAGGUUUGCUGCCAGCUUGUCCCCGCAGCCUGCUGUGCUUACCAGCGUGUUUGGCCAAUUCUAUGUCUCUCUCUGCAGGGACUAGUGUUAAUCCUACUC